rnacentral:ncRNA from 2 species
AAGUGCGCACUGCUUUGAGGUUCUCGUCUGCUUGCAGACGAGUUAAACGGGAAACAGGUGAGGGAAAUCAACCCGAUGCCUGUGCUGCCCCCGCAACGGUAAGCGAGUGCGGAUUUGCCAGUAUGCCACUGUGAGUAAUCCCCCCAAGGGAUCUUAUGGGAAGGCGGUAAAUCAAGACUUGCGAGCCCGGAGACCGGCCACGGAGCAAAGGAACAG